AUGGGGGGGCUGAGUCAGGCAUGAGGGGCACAGAGCUGGUGGGUAGAACUGGUAUAGGAGGGGACUAUGGGUCAGGAGUGAGGGGCACAGAGCUUGUGAGGGGCAGGACUGGGAUAGCAGGGGACCGUGCACUAAGCAUGAAGGGCACAGAGCUGGUGGGUGGCUGGGGGUCAGGCACGAGGGGCACAGAGCUGGUGGGGGGAAGAACUGGUAUAGUGGGGGGCUGUGGGUCAGCGUUAAGGGGCACUGUCACAUGGGCCACAGUGUGCCAGAUCCUGCCAGUUCUGCCAGCUAGUAGGAGCAGCAAGUGUUCUCCUCUCCUGAGUGAGGCCUCCAGCCAGUCCCUCGCCCUGGAGGAUUUCAGGGGUCCGGCCCCCCUGCGGGCAGGGCUGCUGCCACCCAGCGUAAAAUGCGCGUGCAGAUCCAGCCAUCGCCAGGGAGCGGCUGGCGAAGACGCUUGGGGUGUAUCCUGCAGAGAGCAGCCGCGAAGGCCCUCGGUAGCUCCCGUACUGACCCUCUUUGCAGGGCCUUGCUGUGAUCCUGUCUCUAUGGCAGAGCCAGGAAUAGCCCUCGGAAGGACACCCAGCCUGAGCUUCUUUGUGUCACCAGAGUGGGAGGAAGUGCUCUUUCCAGGGAGGAUCUUGCUGCAGUGGUGGUCAGAGAGUUGGACCGCCCCUCAUUAGAAAGACUCUCUUGGAGCCUGGAACUUGCUCCCCCCCACACUCCAAAAUAGCUCGAAUUUGGCAACUUUCACUCCAAAAGAUGCCUGCUGGCAAGGGUCUUUCGGGAGGGCGGGGGCACACUGCUGAGGUGGUGAAGGGGGUCAGGGUCCUGUGACAUCGAUGAUUUGAAAUCUGCUGAGAUCGGAGUUAGUUGAACUGUACUGAUUGUAUAACUACGUUUGUAGCUCACGAAAGCUUAUGCUCAAAUAAAUUGGUUAGU